GGGGAAUAUUGCACAAUGGGCGAAAGCCUGAUGCAGCAACGCCGCGUGAGCGAUGAAGGCCUUCGGGUCGUAAAGCUCUGUCCUCAAGGAAGAUAAUGACGGUACUUGAGGAGGAAGCCCCGGCUAACUACGUGCCAGCAGCCGCGGUAAUACGUAGGGGGCUAGCGUUAUCCGGAAUUACUGGGCGUAAAGGGUGCGUAGGUGGUUUCUUAAGUCAGAGGUGAAAGGCUACGGCUCAACCGUAGUAAGCCUUUGAAACUGAGAAACUUGAGUGCAGGAGAGGAGAGUAGAAUUCCUAGUGUAGCGGUGAAAUGCGUAGAUAUUAGGAGGAAUACCAGUUGCGAAGGCGGCUCUCUGGACUGUAACUGACACUGAGGCACGAAAGCGUGGGGAGCAAAC
rnacentral:rRNA from 1 species